GACGAACGCUGGCGGCGUGCUUAACACAUGCAAGUCGAGCGGUAAGGCCCUUUCGGGGGUACACGAGCGGCGAACGGGUGAGUAACACGUGGGUGACCUGCCCUUAGCUCUGGGAUAAGCCUGGGAAACUGGGUCUAAUACCGGAUAUGACUCCAUGACGCAUGUUGUGGGGUGGAAAGCCUUGUGCGGCUAGGGAUGGGCCCGCGGCCUAUCAGCUUGUUGGUGGGGUGAUGGCCUACCAAGGCGACGGCGGGUAGCCGGCCUGAGAGGGCGACCGGCCACACUGGGACUGAGACACGGCCCAGACUCCUACGGGAGGCAGCAGUGGGGAAUCUUGCGCAAUGGGCGAAAGCCUGACGCAGCGACGCCGCGUGAGGGAUGACGGCCU
rnacentral:rRNA from 1 species